rnacentral:rRNA from 1 species
GUCGCCUCCUAAAAGGUAACGGAGGCGCUCAAAGGUUCCCUCAGAAUGGUUGGAAAUCAUUCAUAGAGUGUAAAGGCAUAAGGGAGCUUGACUGCGAGACCUACAAGUCGAGCAGGGUCGAAAGACGGACUUAGUGAUCCGGUGGUUCCGCAUGGAAGGGCCAUCGCUCAACGGAUAAAAGCUACCCCGGGGAUAACAGGCUUAUCUCCCCCAAGAGUUCACAUCGACGGGGAGGUUUGGCACCUCGAUGUCGGCUCAUCGCAUCCUGGGGCUGUAGUCGGUCCCAAGGGUUGGGCUGUUCGCCCAUUAAAGCGGUACGCGAGCUGGGUUCAGAACGUCGUGAGACAGUUCGGUCCCUAUCCGUCGUGGGCGUAGGAAAUUUGAGAGGAGCUGUCCUUAGUACGAGAGGACCGGGAUGGACAUACCUCUGGUGUACCAGUUGUCGUGCCAACGGCAUAGCUGGGUAGCUAUGUGUGGACGGGAUAAGUGCUGAAAGCAUCUAAGCAUGAAGCCCCCCUC